GAAAAAGAUUUAUGUAAUUUUCGUAGCGAUUGAUGUAGGUUGAACGCGCUGGCGCGAAAAAGCGUUGCGCGCGAAUUUAACCUUAGUUUUUAGGGUUAUGAUGAAGUGUUUAUGAAGAUGCCUAUUGAGAUGUGUAGGCCCAUCAAGAAUGCGGCCCACCGAUAACUAUCUCGCGUCUGGAUUCAUUGAAACGAUUGACGUUUCUCAGAGAAACAACGAUCACGAGCUGCGGUCAGCCCGCAUGCACAACAAAUUAAUCGUAGUGCCAUCCAUCACAUUGUCGGUACAAUCAAUGGAGGAUUUUGCGAUGACCUUUUCUACUCAAGAGAAUGGCAGGUACU